UACGUAGGGGGCAAGCGUUGUCCGGAUUUAUUGGGCGUAAAGAGCUCGUAGGCGGUUUGGUAAGUCGGAUGUGAAAUCUCCAGGCUCAACCUGGAGGGGUCAUUCGAUACUGCCAUGACUAGAGUUCGGUAGGGGAGUGUGGAAUUCCUGGUGGAGCGGUGAAAUGCGCAGAGAUCAGGAGGAACACCCGUAGCGAAGGCGGCACUCUGGGCCGAUACUGACGCUGAGACACGAAGGCCAGGGGAGCAAACGGG
rnacentral:rRNA from 1 species